UACGGGGGGGGGCAAGCGUUGUUCGGAAUUACUGGGCGUAAAGGGCUCGUAGGCGGCCAACUAAGUCGGAUGUGAAAUCCCCAGGCUUAACCUGGGAACUGCAUCCGAUACUGGAUGGCUUGAAUCCGGGAGAGGGAUGCGGAAUUCCAGGUGUAGCGGUGAAAUGCGUAGAUAUCUGGAGGAACACCGGUGGCGAAGGCGGCAUCCUGGACCGGCAUUGACGCUGAGGAGCGAAAGCGUGGGGAGCAAACAGG
rnacentral:rRNA from 1 species